rnacentral:rRNA from 1 species
CUACGGGAGGCAGCAGUGGGGAAUCUUGGACAAUGGGCGCAAGCCUGAUCCAGCCAUGCCGCGUGAGUGAAGAAGGCCUUAGGGUUGUAAAACUCUUUCGCCAGGGACGAUAAUGACGGUACCUGGAUAAGAAGCCCCGGCUAACUUCGUGCCAGCAGCCGCGGUAAUACGAAGGGGGCUAGCGUUGUUCGGAAUCACUGGGCGUAAAGCGCACGUAGGCGGAUCUUUAAGUCAGGGGUGAAAUCCCGGGGCUCAACCUCGGAACUGCCUUUGAUACUGGGGAUCUCGAGUUCGGGAGAGGUGAGUGGAACUGCGAGUGUAGAGGUGAAAUUCGUAGAUAUUGGAAAGAACACCAGUGGCGAAGGCGGCUCACUGGCUCGGUACUGACGCUGAGGUGCGACAGCGUGGGGAGCAAACAGGAUUAGAUACCCUAGUAGUCC